UUGCAAUGAUCACAACCAUCCACCGAUGGCGGAGUGUCCUAAAAUAAGCCAUAAGCGCAAGCGCAAAGCUUAGUACUUUUAACAAUAUUGUCAUCUGAUUUACAAUAUGCUCGAAACAGGAUCAAUGAAUCCCAAACUACAGGCUGAAGAUUCUUGAAUGUGAUAUGUAUUAGCUGUAUUGACACAAUAUUUUUUCUUAAAUAUAAGAUAUUCAAUUACCAUAAAGAAUGAGGUCUUAAUACUACUCAACAACCUUGAUAAAAGUAGGAAUGAUGCAAAAAUCUAGUCUGAAAGAAAAGUAUUAAGUAUUACGUUUCAUCUGUUUCGAAUGACAAUUAAUUCUUGCUGCUUUUUUUGUGUUCGAUGAUACCACCUCGUUCUAUAUUUUGUUUGUUGCCGUUAUAUUUCAGUAUACGAAAAUAAACAAAAAAUAAAUUUGGCAACUCUGAAAAUAUAUUGCCAGCAAAAUGUCAUGGUUUAUUUGCCAGGCUUGUUCCAAGUUUCUCAACACAAAAUUGAGAUUUUGUAGGUGUCGUUAUGUAUGAAUUUUAUUGCUGAAAAAUAAUUUUAAGGGCUGCCAGAUUUUUUUAUUGUUGCAAUAUGUAACUGUCGUAUUUUAUUACCAUAUUAGAACGUAGGUUGGUUUUAUUUAUGUAACGAUCCCAAUGUUUGUUUUAGACAUUUCAUUCGUCAUGAGUUGCCGGGGAAAAACUCAACUUAGCGUAAACGGUCACCUCUACACUUGCGAUAAAACAACUGAUGACGCCAUGUACUGGUGUUGCAAUCAGCGCCGUGUUCUUGGCUGUACAGCUCGUGCUAAUACUGGACGUAGAAAGCAGGGAGAACCGCCAGCCAUCAAACUGCGCGGCUUUCACAAUCAUGGAAUCAUCGCUGAACGACGCCGACCCGGAGAAUAUGCCAGGCUGAAGGAGCAGUAUGACCGUGAACGGAAAGUGUUGCCAGAUGUGGAGCCUUGUCGCCCUGCCCGUUCCAGAUCGAAAAAGAAGCAAAACUGAAUCAAUUUUCUGUGCUCUGUCUUGAUGUUCUAGUAGUACAGUUGUGACCGUGGCUAUGUUUCAAGAUGCCCAAGUCACUAAUAUAUGUAUUGUGACAAAUUUAUGAUUUUUUUUUCUCGUGAUGCUCACCUUGUAUGAAAUUUCAAAACAUUCUCUAAUGAGGUAUCAUAAACUUUGCAGAUAUUUCAUUCGUCAUAAGCGCACGUGGUAAAACUCAGCUGAACGUUAACGGAUAUCUCUACACGCGUGGCAAACUUCACGGCGACUUUCAGUACUGGUCAUGUAAUCAGUACAGAGUUUUAAGUUGCACAGCUCGUGCUUCGACGGUCCGCUGCAAACAGGGUGAGAAACCAACCAUAAAACUUCGCGGUUUCCACAACCAUCCGAUUAUAGUGGACCGACGUCGGCCCGGAGAGUGCGCACGGUUGAAAGAGCUGUACGCUCCUGCAGCGAGGCAAGUGUUGCCAGACAGGAGGAAAUGUCAGCAGCUCCCCAAGCAGCAGAUGCCAUUGCCACCGAUCGAACAGUGUUUUGUGAAAGAAGAGAAAUAAUGAACGCGCUGUUGGGUGUGUGAAUGGAGGCUCUAAUAGGAUAAGUUUUAUGUUCGAUCUAGUACUGCAUCUGAUGUAGUCUGGCUUUGAGCAUAUCAUUUGAAUAAUUCUCUCUGAAACGCAAAACAUCAUUCAAGGAAUUUAUCAGAAUAACACUGAUAGUUUUAAUGUAGCACUUAAAAACAAGAUUCUACAAUUAAGCUUUGAAAUUCUCCAAUUGGGGCUCCAGUUGUCCUAGUGGACAAGACUUCGGGAAUGCAAUGGCAGGUAAAAAUCCUUCUAUUAUUUCUGGAAGUGUUAAAGGGACAUACAGUUGAUAAAGAAGCAAGUCAAGUGCUACUGGUUACGUAGGGUCUGAAAAAAUGUUUUGAAAUAAAACAGUGAAAAAAUUUUAGGGAUACAUGAAGUUGGAAUGUAAGAGAAGAGCCACCAACCCACAGAA